GUAAAGUGUCUGCCUGCAACGUGGGAGUCCCAGGUUAGAUCCCUGGGUUGGGAAGAUCCCCUGGAGAAGGAAAUGGCAACCUACUCCAGUACUCUUGCCUGGAAAAUUCCAUGGACGGAAGAGCCUGGUAGGCUACAGUCCAUGGGGUUGCGAAGAGUUGGACAUGACAGCCAUUUCACUUCACUUCACUUGACCUUUUAUAGAUUUUAUUUUAUUUUCAUGACAACCCUGUGUGGUGGAUGUUAUUAUCAUCUCUUUACAGAUAAAACAGCAACUGAGGCUGAGAGAAAGAAUGGAUUUCCAUGGACACUAUUCUUGCAUAUAGUAAAAAGUAAAGAGCCAGGAAGUGUGAAAAUAAGACCUGAGCUUUGGCCAUUCGGAUGUGACGAUUAUAGACCAGUCUAGUGGAAAUGCCACGGGCAAAGAAGAAAGCAAGUAUAAGAACCUACAUCUUGGAGCUGUUUGUCCAGCCACUAAUUGCCUUCACAUCCCCUCCAUGUUGAAGAAAAUGAAGAUGACUAGCAUCUGGUGACUUGCUGGCUGGUCCCUGGGCAGUAUACACAUGGCCACAGAAUGGCAAGGCUGCCUGGGGUCUAGGUCUGUGAUUCUGUCCUCCUUACCCCUGUG
ensembl:lncRNA